rnacentral:rRNA from 1 species
AGUGAACGCUGGCGGUAGGCCUAACACAUGCAAGUCGAACGGCAGCACAGUAAGAGCUUGCUCUUACGGGUGGCGAGUGGCGGACGGGUGAGGAAUACAUCGGAAUCUACUUUUUCGUGGGGGAUAACGUAGGGAAACUUACGCUAAUACCGCAUACGACCUACGGGUGAAAGCAGGGGAUCUUCGGACCUUGCGCGAUUGAAUGGGCCGAUGUCGGAUUAGCUAGUUGGCGGGGUAAAGGCCCACCAAGGCGACGAUCCGUAGCUGGUCUGAGAGGAUGAUCAGCUACACUGGAACUGAGACACGGUCCAGACUCCUACGGGAGGCAGCAGUGGGGAAUAUUGGACAAUGGGCGCAAGCCUGAUCCAGCCAUACCGCGUGGGUGAAGAAGGCCUUCGGGUUGUAAAGCCCUUUUGUUGGGAAAGAAAAGCAGCAGGUUAAUACCCCGCUGUUCUGACGGUACCCAAAGAAUAAGCACCGGCUAACUUCGUG